AGAUACAGAGUCAUUUCUUAAUUAUGUAUGUAGAGAUAGAGCAUUUUCGAAUGCAGCCUGAAUACUUAUCAUCAUAAAUUGACUAUUGGUGAGAAUGAUAUGAAACCAUAAAAAAGCACAACUCCAGUUCAAGACUUUUCCAACGAUACCAAGUUUAACCAUAAAAACCCAUUUUAUCGUAUAAAUACACUGGCCACAAAAUUUUGCAUAUUCUCUUAAUAAUACAUAUUCUAUGCUAUGUUGAUGAAAGUAAACUUUUGACUCAUCACCGAAUAGAAGUUGGAAUAAGCUUGAAAACACUCAACAAAUCUUGACUUCCGCGUCGGGUCACAAAUUCCUGCGGUGGUUGUUGUCAAUGCUAAUUUUACUUCACCGUAGAAUUCAGUUUUAGACAAACAGUUCCUAAUUUCUCAACAUUUAAUACUUAUGAUAAAGUUUUAAGAUAAACUUUAUCGGUAAAUUUAAAAUUGUUGAAGUUAAGUCUGCGGAUGGAAGUUAGUCAGUGGAUGAACUUAAAAGUAUAAUAAACAUAAAUAAUCGAUUGAAUGUUCAAUAAUCUAAUGAUUGAAUCAGAAUUAUAUUAGUGAUCUCGUGUAGAGCGAGAGAGAGAGAAUGGAAUGCCGUUGAUGAGAGGUGACGUAGUCGGUACUCAAAUUGAAUUACAGCUCGGGACUCAAUAAACUGACCACGAGCAGAACGACUACAGCAACGGCGACAACUGUUAAAUGUCCGACAGAGUGAUACUCGUGUUCACAUGUGUACACAAGGUAAAACCAUAUAAUCUAUAAUAAAAUCGAGCUAUUAUGUCACAUCAAACUAAUCAGACAGCGCUUAGUUUGUAUUAUGUUAUUAUUGGCUAAAAGCGCUAGACCAGCUUAGAUCAUGAGAUCAACGCUCGACGCCCUUUGAUUUUAAUCCAGCUAAUCAUCAAUAAUGAACACGCCAGCCAUGUCAGGGAGCUCAGGGUGAUUUGAUCCUCCGACCCGAUUUUAGUUGACAGACAAGUGAAAUUCAAUUAAAAUCUCGAAUCCGUAUAAGGAGCAGAGUUAAUACAAGUCUUGUCUCAUCUCGGGAAUCUCUCCCUAUUCCAGAUCAGACCAGACCAGACCAAUUUGUAUUAUCAUAAUAAUGGAUAAACGUCAAUCGCUGAAAUUACAGAUUAAGUUAUUAGGUUUUAAAUUAAUAAAUUAUUCGAGGCUGCGAUGAUUAUUUAAAUUUUUUAAAUUAAUAACUAUAAACUUAAGAUUAUGCACUGAGAUUCUGGCAUUAACCUUGGCCUCAGCCAGCCAGCAAUCGACCGUUUUUUACAUACUUUAACCGGCUAAACUUGGCAGGUGCAAUUCAGGAUCAAGAUAAAUUGACAAGCUUAUCCAGAGAUACUCACCUCGGUUAAUCACUUGGAAAAACAGCAACCACUGGUGG